UACGGAGGUUCCAAGCGUUGUUCGGAAUUACUGGGCGUAAAGGGAGCGCAGGCGGGCAAGUCAGUCUGAAGUGGAAUCCCGGGGCUUAACCUCGGACUUGCUUCGGAUACUGCUUGUCUUGAGUUCGUGAUAGGAAGACGGAAUUCAGGGUGUAGCGGUGAAAUGCACAGAUAUCCUGAGGAACACCGGUGGCGAAAGCGGUCUUCUGGCGCGAAACUGACGCUGAGGCUCGAAAGCGUGGGUAGCAAACGGG
rnacentral:rRNA from 1 species